UACGUAGGGGGCUAGCGUUGUCCGGAUUUAUUGGGCGUAAAGAGCGUGUAGGCGGCCAGGUAGGUCUGCUGUGAAAACUCGAGGCUCAACCUCGAGACGUCGGUUGAAACCGUCUGGCUAGAGUCCGGAAGAGGAGAGUGGAAUUCCCGGUGUAGCGGUGAAAUGCGCAGAUAUCAGGAGGAACACCAGUGGCGAAGGCAGGU
rnacentral:rRNA from 1 species